GACGAACGCUGGCGGCGUGCUUAAUACAUGCAAGUCAACGACUUUUAGAGUAGCAAUAUUUUAAAGGAAGUGGCGCACGGGUGAGUAACACGUAGGUAAUCUGCCUUCAGGACUGACACAACUCGUCGAAAGACGGGCUAAUAUCAGAUAAUGCAGCGGCUCCGCAUGGAGACAGUUGUUAAAGUACAAGCGCCUGAAGAUGAGCCUGCGGUCCAUUAGCUAGUUGGUAGAGUAACAGCCUACCAAGGCAACGAUGGAUAGCUGGUCUGAGAGGAUGAUCAGCCACACUGGAACUGAGACACGGUCCAGACUCCUACGGGAGGCAGCAGUAAGGAAUAUUGCUCAA
rnacentral:rRNA from 1 species